UGACCUCGGAUCAGGUAGGACUACCCGCUGAACUUAAGCAUAUCAAUAAGCGGAGGAAAAGAAACCAACAGGGAUUGCCUCAGUAACGGCGAGUGAAGCGGCAACAGCUCAAAUUUGAAAUCUGGCUCCCCUUGGGGGUCCGAGUUGUAAUUUGGAGAGGAUGUUUCUGGCGCGGCGCCUACCGGAGUUCCUUGGAACAGGACGCCACAGAGGGUGAGAGCCCCGUACGGUUGGCCGCCUAGCCUGCACGAAACUCCUUCGACGAGUCGAGUAGUUUGGGAAUGCUGCUCAAAAUGGGAGGUAAAUUUCUUCUAAAGCUAAAUACCGGCCAGAGACCGAUAGCGCACAAGUAGAGUGAUCGAAAGAUGAAAAGCACCUUGAAAAGAGGGUUAAACAGUACGUGAAAUUGUUGAAAGGGAAGCGCCUGCGACCAGACUCGCGCCCCGCGGACCAGCCGGCGUUCUCGCCGGUGCACUCCGCGGGGUGCGGGCCAGCAUCGGUUCUCCCUGGGGGAGAAAGGCUGCGGGAAUGUAGCUCCUUCGGGAGUGUUAUAGCCCGUGGCGCCAUGCCCCAGGGGGGACCGAGGACCGCGCUUCGGCAAGGAUGCUGGCGUAAUGG
rnacentral:rRNA from 1 species